rnacentral:misc_RNA from 1 species
UAACAAGGUUUCCGUAGGUGAACCUGCGGAAGGAUCAUUACCUAGAGUUUGUGGGCUUUGCCUGCUAUCUCUUACCCAUGUCUUUUGAGUACUUACGUUUCCUCGGUGGGUUCGCCCGCCGAUUGGACAAUUUAAACCCUUUGCAGUUGCAAUCAGCGUCUGAAAAACAUAAUAGUUACAACUUUCAACAACGGAUCUCUUGGUUCUGGCAUCGAUGAAGAACGCAGCGAAAUGCGAUAAGUAGUGUGAAUUGCAGAAUUCAGUGAAUCAUCGAAUCUUUGAACGCACAUUGCGCCCCUUGGUAUUCCAUGGGGCAUGCCUGUUCGAGCGUCAUUUGUACCUUCAAGCAUUGCUUGGUGUUGGGUGUUUGUCUCGCCUUUGCGUGUAGACUCGCCUUAAAACAAUUGGCAGCCGGCGUAUUGAUUUCGGAGCGCAGUACAUCUCGCGCUUUGCACUCAUAACGACGACGUCCAAAGUACAUUUUAACACUCUUGACCUCGGAUCAGGUAGGGAUACCCGCUGAACUUAAGCAUAUCAAUAA